CUUUUCUGCCUGCUCUCUCUCUCCUCUCCCUACUGAUGAAGCUAGCUGCACUAGAGAAAAUCCUUUCCCUGCCCAGAAAGAAACCUCCUUUUCCCUGCCUGUAGAAGCCGGAGAAGAGAAACCAAGGAGCAACCUUGACUAUCCACAAGACAGAUGGAUUUGCCUCCUGUGAAAAGAAAACUAUCAGCCCCGUGAAACCAGCAGUGCCAACCGGUGUCGAAGGAAGAAGCAACAUCUCUGCCUGUCGCAAUGCAAAACCGUGGCUUCCCAAGGAGAAAAGAAGAAAGUGGACUUUGACAGGGUGCUGUUGGGGGAGCCAGGUCUUCUGGCCAAGCGUGGGCAGCUUAGAGGACAAGCUUCUAGUCGACCUGCAGCUAUCUUGGGAGUUGGCAUCUUGGUCCCGCUUACAAUGACAGAAAGACAGCAUUGUCAAAAAAUGUUGCUAACUCUGGUUAUUCUAGAAGAAUAACCACUGCUUGCCACUGCUGCUUAGCCUUCUGGUGAGGAAAGGAGACUGGUGCCAGAAUUAGACAAGCCAGAAAUUAAUGGAUGGGAGACGCGAUCCAUUGUGUGACCCUGCUGGCAGCAAAUAUACUCCAGAAGUGAACCUCAGAUAAUGUCUGUUCCUUCCAAGAGAGGACUGAAAUAUUUUUCAACCGAAAAGACUUUGAGAUAUAAAUAGACUGAAAAUCCAGUGGGAAUGUUACAUUGAUUGGUACUGCCAUUUCACUUCCUAGAACCAUGUAAGGAAAUGGCCCAUUUGUGAGAACAGUUUCCCCAUCCAAAUUAAAGAUUUCAGAAUUAGGCAAAUGCCAUCCAACUCUCCACCAUCUAAAGAUCAUCUCUAGUAUGCUGCCAAAGAAAGAGCAACAUUUUUUUUACUGAACAGAGAAAAUGGACAGUAAGCAAUGACUGAGGUCAAUUUCAGAUUCCGUGGAAAUCUUACUGGCCGUUCUCACCCUCCAACCUUAGCUACAGAAGUCUCAACGGCAGAUAAAUACUCCAACCUAUACAUGUAUGUAGGGUUGUUCCUAACUCUACUGGCUAUCCUCCUCAUCUUGCUCUUCACAAUGCUUCUGCGGCUGAAACACGUCAUCUCUCCCAUCACCACAUCGCCCGAGAGCACUGAGAACAUCCAAGAGUUCACGGACGUGGAAAUGCACGGCCAGAUCCCUAGUGCAUAGGAGGCUAGAAGCAACUGACUAGAAACGUGUCUGUGGCAAGGGACACAUUCCAGUCAGUGGCGUGGGGGAUAGUAAGAGACUGCUUUCGCCCAGGAUCAAAAUGUGGACAGGCCUUCAAGAAUGGACCAUUCAUUUGACUUUGGAAAUGCCAAUCCAAUAUCCAGUCACUUCAGAGAGGCAAAAGCAGCAUAUGUCAUGCUGUUUGGUUACUUACAACCGGUCUGCAAAUCAACAUAUAUAAACCUGUGAGACUGCCUUAUUCUGAGUCACAUCCUUGGUUCCUUUGGCCUGGCACUGUCCACUUGGAUAGGCAGGAGCUCUCCAAGGGUGAAUGGGUAUGGUUGGAUCUGAACUCCAUUCCUUAAGACACUAAAGACUGGUGGAUCGGAAGUAAGUUGGCAGAUCAUCCAGCUAAGAUUAAGAAGCUCUGCCUGCUCCCAAAAAUGGAUUGUGUGAGUGGUGAAAAACCAGGACCACCUGGAAGUGACCAGUGGAUGGAUCAACGGGAGGAGCCAUCCUGGUUGGUCGGCGUGGUUGGACAUGGCGGGUAAUCUUAAAUUUGAUGUAGGCUGGAGGAGGUUGGUUGCCCAAACUGACUGGCCAGGGUAGCUUCUCCCCAAGUUCCCUUCCUGGUCCUCCAACUGGGCUUUUUUUGAGGGGGAUGAUGGACGCAUUCCAUUAUUGGGAGUGUACACAGCUCCCGAAUCUUAGCAAGAUGCUCUACUGACUUACUUCCAACUGUGAGAACUCACCCAAAGAAACCAAAUCAGUCUCUCAAUGCGGGGACAACCCUCUAGUCUCCGUUAGGGAAAAGCAUGGUAACACCUGGAAUGUUUUCCUGGAUUCCGGAGGAAGCAGGGGAACCCUACUCCUGCAUUUCAGAUGCUUUCCCAAAAUGCCUCAUCGAUACAAUCAGGCCCUAAACUGCUGCCCUGAAGGGGGAAAGCUGCAAAACCAUUUCUGCAACACAUUUAAUUUCUAAUGGAUGUGAAGUUGUGAUCUAACCUCCGACUCCAGCAUGCAAUCUAGGCUAGAAAUCAUGUCCCAGUGUGUGUUGGGUUGGGAAUCAUACUAUAUAACAUGCACCUGCAAUCGCACCUCUCUCUCCAUGGACCUCGAAAGUACGAAUUCCCCAAACAUAAGUCAUGCUAAAAUUAGCAGUUAGACAGAUGCCCUUGGCUUGCAACAAUAAGUACGACAUGCACAUCCAGAGCCUUCCAAAUAGUAAUGGAGUUGGGUUUUACACACACACACACACACACACAAACACACACACACACACACACACACACACACACACACACACACACACACUUUCUUCAGCAUGUGGCUUUUUAGGAGCUUGAUUUAAUUUUGUGUACAAGAGAAAAAAUAUGCGAUAAGAAUGCUGAUGAUCUUAUUUACAUCUGCAAAGAAAGUGACCUUUCCAGAUCUCUGCAGAAGAGCAUCAGGGUUAUUUUAACGCUUUUGUUAAGCCAUCCACAGCGUGCGGCAUCGGUCUCCAUCUCCAAAGCAGGGUAAGAAAAGCAAACAGCCAAGACAGUUUAGGCGGGCCAGCCCUUGCCUAUUGGGAUACACAUGCUAGGAACAAAAUGGUCAUAUAAGGCUGGCUUUUGCGAUGGUCAAGACUUUUCAAUUUGUAAACCGCCCAGAGAUUUUAUAUGGGGUGAUAUAUAAAUGUGACAAAAUAAAAUAAUAAACCAAC